AAUCCUUGCUCUCUGGGUGCUAGUGC
rnacentral:miRNA from 8 species